rnacentral:rRNA from 1 species
UACGGAGGGUGCAAGCGUUGUUCGGAUUUAUUGGGCGUAAAGAGCUCGUAGGCGGUUUGUCGCGUCUGCCGUGAAAGUCCGGGGCUCAACUCCGGAUCUGCGGUGGGUACGGGCAGACUAGAGUGAUGUAGGGGAGACUGGAAUUCCUGGUGUAGCGGUGAAAUGCGCAGAUAUCAGGAGGAACACCGAUGGCGAAGGCAGGUCUCUGGGCAUUAACUGACGCUGAGGAGCGAAAGCAUGGGGAGCGAACAGG